CCUCCCUGAUUCUACCUGCUUUAAAUCUAACUUAAAAGUUUCUUCUUAUUAUCUUUAUCUUUUUUGACUUUAGACUUUAGUUUCUCUGAAAUGAUUUUAGUUCCACUUUUUAAAAAUUGUGUUUUUCAUUAGGUGUACAUCUCUCUUCUUGGAAUUUCUACGUGCAUUAAAAAUCUGAGUUUAUCAGAAAGUAAGAUCCUUUGCAGCGAACUGAUUUUGUUGGCCACAUCAUUUGUACAUUUCUUUAAAACCUAUCCACUAAUCAAUAAUUAAAAUUCCACAGUCAGGUGGAUAUUGACUCUUCAUUCAAACACAAAGAUCAGGCUAACACCCUUUGCCUGAUUUCAACAAAGUUAUAAUCAUUGUGCCUGAGAAUAUCAGGAAAAAUUUAUUCUUUUCUUUUUGUCAUGAAUCAUGGGUAUGAUGUAGUUAUUAGGAAAAAACUGAGUAGAGAGAUACAAGAAUCCAUGUUUAAUGCUCCUAUAACAAGGGUCCACUUUAUGCUUGAGUAUGAAUCUUAUUUCUCCUCCUCCUCCUCCUCCUCCUCCUCCUCUUCCUCCUCCUUCUUCUUUUUCUUCCUCUUCUCCUUCUCCCCAUUCCUAACUGUAAGAGAAGUAAGAUUAAUAUUCUCCUCAUCCUAGGCUGGGUUAUUUGUCCUUUAGCUCAUAGUUCAGAAGAAUGGAGUCCAGACUGGGAACUGGUGCAGCAGAUCUGAGUCAUGGCUAUCACAAGGCCACAAUCUGGACGUGAAUCCUGUCCACUGACAGGCACACCUUGAGCCCAGUCCCUGAAUUUUCCUUUAAAAAGACUUUCGGGGAAAGGCAGCGGAGCACAACAGACACUAGUAUGGCAAUAUGUAAAUCAAUGGAUGUGUAACUGAUGUGAUUCUGCAAUCUGUGUAUGGGGUGAAGGUGGGAGUUCAUAACCCACUUGAAUCAAAGUGUGGAAUAUGAUAUGUCAAGAAAUUUGUAAUGUUUUGAACAACCCACAAUAAAAAAUUAAAAAUAUAAAAAAAAAA
rnacentral:lncRNA from 1 species